UUUUAUGUUUUUUAUUGGUUAAAUUUUCAUCGAUAAUAAAUACUUUUUCCUUUAAUUUUAAAACUAAUUUUUUGUUAAAUUUAAAUCAAAUAGAUAUUGAGAAACUUAAAUUAAUCGAUUAAAUUAGAGGAAAAUCAAAUAUUUCUUUAUGUUAGGUCAUAUUAUAUAUGAUUUUUAUUUUAUUCUACUCUAAUCAUUUGAG
rnacentral:lncRNA from 1 species